CCUACGGGUGGCAGCAGUGAGGAAUAUUGGUCAAUGGGCGUAAGCCUGAACCAGCCAAGUCGCGUGAGGGAUGACGGUUCUAUGGAUCGUAAACCUCUUUUAUAAGGGAAUAAAGUGUGGGACGUGUCCUAUUUUGUAUGUACCUUAUGAAUAAGGAUCGGCUAACUCCGUGCCAGCAGCCGCGGUAAUACGGAGGAUCCGAGCGUUAUCCGGAUUUAUUGGGUUUAAAGGGUGCGUAGGCGGCUUUUUAAGUCAGGGGUGAAAGUCUGUGGCUCAACCAUAGAAUUGGCGUUGAAACUGGGGGGCUUGAGGAUGUUUGAGGCAGGCGGAAUGCGUGGUGUAGCGGUGAAAUGCUUAGAUAUCACGCAGAACCCCGAUUGCGAAGGCAGUCUGCCAGGCCAUGACUGACGCUGAUGCACGAAAGCGUGGGGAUCAAACAGGAUUAGAUACCCUUGUAGUC
rnacentral:rRNA from 1 species